rnacentral:siRNA from 1 species
AGAAGUGUUCAAUGAGGGCCCAAG